UUUAGAUUGACUCACUUUACUUAAUAAUAGGCAUUUUAAGUUUAUUUCAUGUCUUUUCAUGGCUGGUUCACUCAUUUAUUUUUAGUGUCAAGCAUUGUCUGGAGGUACCACAGUUGACUAAUCUCUUCACCUGCUAAAGGUCAUUCAGUUUUAGCCAUUAUGAAUAAAGCUGCUGUAAACAUCUGCGUGCAGAAUUUGUAUGUACAUAAGUUUUCAACUUGGUUAAAUUUGAAGUAGUGAGAUUGCUAGAUCAUAUGAUGCCGCAACAUGGAGGCCCUAAGGCAGAAAACAGCCUGGAUUGUUUGAAGAGGAAGGAAGCUACAGGCUGGCACUUGGGCAGUGAAAAAGAAAGUGAUUCUUGAUGUGAUCAAAGAGCUAUGGAGGGUCUUAACAGGAAAAUGGAAAUCCACAGACCCUUUGGAAGAAGUGACAGGCUGCAACUUACACCAUGAACCAGGUAAAAAACUGUUAAGUCCCCAGAGUGUGUAAAAGAGACUCCCUCCAGGAUAUAUAUCAACACCAGGGAAUCUGGAAAUCCAGACAAUAGGGUAAAACCUUAAUCCCAACCAGAGCUGAAGCUGAUUUAGGGAGCAGUGAGGAA
rnacentral:lncRNA from 13 species